GACGAACGCUGGCGGCGUGCUUAACACAUGCAAGUCGAACGAAGAGCGAUGGAAGCUUGCUUCUAUCAAUCUUAGUGGCGAACGGGUGAGUAACGCGUAAUCAACCUGCCCUUCAGAGGGGGACAACAGUUGGAAACGACUGCUAAUACCGCAUACGAUCUAAUCUCGGCAUCGAGGAUAGAUGAAAGGUGGCCUCUACAUGUAAGCUAUCACUGAAGGAGGGGAUUGCGUCUGAUUAGCUAGUUGGAGGGGUAACGGCCCACCAAGGCGAUGAUCAGUAGCCGGUCUGAGGGGAUGAACGGCCACAUUGGGACUGAGACACGGCCCAGACUCCUACGGGAGGCAGCAGUGGGGAAUCUUCCGCAAUGGACGAAAGUCUGACGGAGCAACGCCGCGUGAGCGAUGACGGCCUUCGGGUUGUAAAGCUCUGUUAAUCGGGACGAAAGGCCUUCUUGCGAAUAGUGAGAAGGAUUGACGGUACCGGAAGAGAAAGCCACGGCUAACUACGUG
rnacentral:rRNA from 1 species